rnacentral:rRNA from 1 species
GAUGAACGCUAGCUACAGGCUUAACACAUGCAAGUCGAGGGACCGGCGCACGGGUGAGUAACACGUAUCCAACCUGCCCUUUACUCGGGGAUAGCCUUUCGAAAGAAAGAUUAAUACCAGAUGUAAAGGAUGGGGAUGUGUUCCAUUAGGUUGUUGGUGAGGUAACGGCUCACAAAGCCUUCGAUGGAUAGGGGUUCUGAGAGGAAGGUCCCCCACAUUGGAACUGAGACACGGUCCAAACUCCGACGGGCGGCAGCAGGUAGGAAUAUUGGUCAAUGUGCGUUAUCCUGAACCAUCCAAGUAGCGUGAAGGAUGAAGGCUUAUGGGUCGUAAACUUCUUUUAUAUAAGAAUAUGUAUUAUAUGAAUAAGGAUCGGCUAACUCCGUGCCAGCAGCCGCGGUAAUUC